rnacentral:misc_RNA from 1 species
AAGGAGUCCAACAUGUGUGCGAGUAUUUGGGUGGCAAACCCACAUGCGUAAUGAAAGUGAAUGAUGGGAACUUUUUGUGCACCAUCGACCGGGCAAUCAAUUUAUUGAGCGAACCAAGUAAGAUCACAUAUGCUGGGACCCGAAAGAUGGUGAACUAUGCCUGAAUAGGGUGAAGCCAGAGGAAACUCUGGUGGAGGCUCGUAGCGAUUCUGACGUGCAAAUCGAUCGUCAAAUUUGGGUAUAGGGGCGAAAGACUAAUCGAACCAUCUAGUAGCUGGUUCCCUC